UGUGGAAGGGGGUGACUAGGGACAGAGGGGGUGAUUAGUGACAGAGUGAGGGAGGGGGUGACUAGUGACAGAGUGAGGGAGCGGGUGACACAGUGACAGAGUUAGGGAGGGAGUGACUAGUGACAGAGAGAGGGAUGGGGUGACUGUCACUAGACAGUCAUCCCCUCCCUCCCUCCCUCUGUCACUAGUCACUCCCUCCCUCUGUUACUAGUCACUCCCUCACUCUGUCACCAGUCAUCCCCUCACUCUGUCACCAGUCACCCCUUCCCUCCCUCACUCUGCCACUAGUCAUCUUUUCCCUCCCUCACUCUGCCACUAGUCAUCUUUUCCCUCCCUCACU